ensembl:lncRNA
UGGGUGCCCUAUGGGUGCUGUAUGGGAUAUGGGUGCCCUAUGGGUGCCCUAUGGGUGCUGUAUGGGAUAUGGGUGCCCUAUGGGUGCUGUAUGGGAUAUGGGUGCCCUAUGGGUGCUCUAUGGGUACUCUAUGGGUGCUGUAUGGGAUAUGGGAUCCCUAUGGGUGCUGUAUGGGAUAUGGGUUCCCUAUGUGUAUCACAGCCCCCAAUCCCCCCCGCAGGCGCUGAGGCCAUGGCUGAGCCGUGCCCUAUGGGGUGUGGGUGCCCUAUGGGUGCCCUAUGGGUGCCCUAUGGGAUAUGGGUUCCCUAUGGGUAUCACAGCCCCCUGACCGACCCCAAUCCCCCCCGCAGGCGCUGAGGCCAUGGCUGAGCCGUGCCCUAUGGGGUGUGGGUGCCCUAUGGGUGCCCUAUGGCUGCUCUAUGGGAUAUGGGUGCCCUAUGGGUACCCUAUGGGUACUCUAUGGGAUAUGG